CAGCAGCCGCGGGAAUACGUAGGUGGCAAGCGUUGUCCGGAAUUAUUGGGCGUAAAGCGCGCGCAGGCGGAUAGGUCAGUCUGUCCUAAAAGUUCGGGGCUUAACCCCGUGAUGGGAUGGAAACUGCCAAUCUAGAGUAUCGGAGAGGAAAGUGGAAUCCCUAGUGUAGCGGUGAAAUGCGUAGAUAUUAGGAAGAACACCAGUGGCGAAGGCGACUUUCUGGACGAAAACUGACGCUGAGGCGCGAAAGCCAGGGGAGCGAACGGGAUUAGAUACCCGAGUAGUCCCUGUCUCUUAUACC
rnacentral:rRNA from 1 species